rfam:Oryza nivara chromosome 1, whole genome shotgun sequence.
UUUAAUUGAAACCAUAAGUUUUCGUGCCUAACUUUGAUCGUCCGUUUUAUUUGGAAUUUUUUUAUAAUUAGUAUUUUUAUUGUUAUGAGGUGAUAAAACAUGAAUAACACUUUAUACGUGACCUAUGUUUUUAAAUUUUUUUAAAAAAAUUUCAAAUAAGAUGGACGGUGAAAGUUAUGCACGAAAAAUCAUGGCUGCACUUAAA